AGUGAACGCUGGCGGUAGGCCUAACACAUGCAAGUCGAACGGCAGCACAGUAAGAGCUUGCUCUUACGGGAGGCGAGUGGCGGACGGGUGAGGAAUACAUCGGAAUCUACUUUUUCGUGGGGGAUAACGUAGGGAAACUUACGCUAAUACCGCAUACGACCUACGGGUGAAAGCAGGGGAUCUUCGGACCUUGCGCGAUUGAAUGAGCCGAUGUCGGAUUAGCUAGUUGGCGGGGUAAAGGCCCACCAAGGCGACGAUCCGUAGCUGGUCUGAGAGGAUGAUCAGCCACACUGGAACUGAGACACGGUCCAGACUCCUAUGGGAGGCAGCAGUGGGGAAUAUUGGACAAUGGGCGCAAGCCUGAUCCAGCCAUACCGCGUGGGUGAAGAAGGCCUUCGGGUUGUAAAGCCCUUUUGUUGGGAAAGAAAAGCAGCAGGUUAAUACCCCGCUGUUCUGACGGUACCCAAAGAAUAAGCACCGGCUAACUUCGUG
rnacentral:rRNA from 1 species